rnacentral:sRNA from 1 species
GCGCUUCUUGUGCUUGGCACAUAAGCAUGACUGCUGCAAUCGGCAAGGCAUCAGUUCAGUCAUCGUUGAGAGUUCAAAGAGUAAAGUUGGAAUAAUCGGAGGGAAAAGAACGCUGCCAAUUUUUUUUUUAAGUUAAACUGUACAUAAAAUCAAUAGCGCUGAGAUAAUUAAAAACAGCAACAAUUGUGCGACGCACAUUGGUUCAAGAGUGGCCGAAAUUCAUUUUUUUCAUGUUCGCCGAUUUGGAUAAUUUUUUGCCGCUCGUUCAAUGAACUUGAACCAAUGUGCGACGCAAAAACCGGUUUCGAAUAACUACUAAGCGCAAAAUGGGCGAGCAACGGAAAAUGCACGGCAAAAGCGAUUAUGUAAUACCAACGCAACCGGCCUUCGAACAGCCACAUCAUCCAUAGCCAACGCCCAAAAAAUUCCUGUGGGGAUCAAGGGAGCUUUUACUGUGUGUAAAACUCCAAGUCGACUCAUUAUACAACGAUUGUGUAUGGCGCCAAAAGUGUUGGCGGCCCUCCGCGUGGUGGUCCCCGGGCAACGUUCAAUUCAAAGGGAAUUGACGGCUAAAAUGAGCGACGAAAAGGUGGGAAAAUUCAAGUGGAAUUUCCCAAAAACAAUGUGGCCAACAAAGUGUGUUGGUAACGCCGUUCGAAGAAGUGCAGCCAGUAAAAGGCUGAACCGGAGAGGAUAAUUUUCAUAACCCCUACAAAUUUCCCGAUUAUUCAAGCCAAUGUCAACGGUAAAGCCAAGUAUUUUUUUAAAGUAAACUCCAUUCAUGAUGAUGAUGAUGAAGACGAUGAAGAGCAGUUGUGCGGUAUGUGCACCGGCGGAAAGGCGAAACACUGGUAGUCCUCCCUCCUCCUACACAAAGUUAUUGCUGAUCUACUGGGGACAAACCAAGCGACUGUGGUGAACGAAGACGCGACGUAUAACAGCUGUGCGGCUAGUAUGCCGGCGGAACGGCGAAACACUGGUAGCCCCCCCUCGCCCUACUAAGUUACUGCUGAACUACUGGCAAAAACCUAAGCAACUGUGAAUACGUCCCAGAGAAAAGGCGUGCGGCUAGUAUACUGGCGGAUUGGCGAAACACUGGUAGCCCCCUCACCCUACUAAGUUACUGCAGAUCUACUGGUGAAAACCUCAGCGGCUUAAGACAUAUCCCUGCUGUCUAUUGGUGGAAAAUGGAAUUGGCCAUAGUUAAAUCCCUAGAUUUUUCUUAACGUGCUGCCGUUUUUUGCUGAAAAUGGAUAACUGGAAUAUACCAAAGUUAUAGAUUGAACUCUUCGAAAGAAAGCAAUCUGUACAACAACAACAACAAGAACAUACUGAUGCUGAAAGUGCCAUUUGCCUUACAUAUCCGGUUUGGUAAGCCAAGCGAAAUAUAGAGGUUGCAGUUUAAAGUAAGGACUCUACAACGGACAAACGAACAAGCAAAAGGUGUCCCCCGCCCUGCGCCUUGUGUGCGAGUUCUGCUGACUGUAAUGGAGCCCUCAACUAAACUCAAGAAGUAUCCAUGGCAGCUGCUGCCGUAAAUAAAUGGAAUUGGCCCUAGAGAAGGCUUCUGUUAUUUACCUGCUGGCGGUUUGCUGGGAUAUACCAACAUAGAAGCUGAGCUUGGACUGGAGAUAUGGAAGAAAACAAAAAAACUUUCAACAACAGCAAAUGACAUGGAGUUUGUUUCCAAAAAUGCAACAGCCGAAUUGAAGACAACCGCCAAAAAUGAUCGAGAAAAAGUGGAGUUUGUCAAUGCCUCUGUUUGAAGUUGAAUAUUUGAAAUAUUCUGAAAAUCGUUUAUGAAGAUGAGACAUAAUUUCUGAAGUCUCUAAAGAUAGUUACGAAAAUAAUGAAGUUUUUACUAAACUCUGAAGAAAAUUCUGAAGCCAAAAUUUUUGAAGUCUGACGUAAAGAUGUACACAAUAUCUGAAGAUACACUGUUCAAUGUAAAAAUGAAAAUCUGAAGGCUAAAUAUUCGAUGUAAAGAUGAAAAUCUCAAAAAACUUAAUGUUCGAUGAAAAGAUGAAAAUCUGAAGACAAAUGAUCGUAAGAAUGAUGAACUGAGUGUUGAGAAGGUGUCUCUGCAGCUCAGUUCGAUUGAAGUCAAAUGAUGAUUAUUUAGUUGGGGAAGGUGUCUC